rnacentral:rRNA from 1 species
GACGAACGCUGGCGGCGUGCUUAACACAUGCAAGUCGAACGGAAAGGCCCUGCUUUUGUGGGGUGCUCGAGUGGCGAACGGGUGAGUAACACGUGAGUAACCUGCCCUUGACUUUGGGAUAACUUCAGGAAACUGGGGCUAAUACCGGAUAGGAGCUCCUGCUGCAUGGUGGGGGUUGGAAAGUUUCGGCGGUUGGGGAUGGACUCGCGGCUUAUCAGCUUGUUGGUGGGGUAGUGGCUUACCAAGGCUUUGACGGGUAGCCGGCCUGAGAGGGUGACCGGCCACAUUGGGACUGAGAUACGGCCCAGACUCCUACGGGAGGCAGCAGUGGGGAAUAUUGCGCAGUGGGCGGAAGCCUGAUGCGGCAACGCCGCGUGCGGGAUGACGGCCUUCGGGUUGUAAACCGCUUUCGCCUGUGACGAAGCGUGAGUGACGGUAAUGGGUAAAGAAGCACCGGCUAACUACGUG